rnacentral:rRNA from 1 species
CCUACGGGAGGCUGCAGUGGGGGAUAUUGCACAAUGGGGGGAACCCUGAUGCAGCGACGCCGCGUGGGUGAAGGAGCGUUUCGGCGCGUAAAGCUCUAUCGGCAGGGAAGAAGAUGACGAUACGUGACCAAGAAGCCACGGAUAACUACGUGACAGCAGCGGCGGUAAUACGUAGGGGGCAAGCGUUAUCCGGAUUUACUGGGUGUAAAGGGGGCGCAGACGGCAAUGCAAGCCAGGAGUGAAAGCCCGGGGCUCAACCCCGGGACUGCUCUUGAAACUGCAGGGCUGGAGUACAGGAGGGGCAGGCGGAAUGCCUAGUGUAGCGGUGAAAUGCGUAGAUAUUAGACGGAACACCGGUGGCGAAGGCGGCCUGCUAGACUGUUUCUGACGUUGAGGCCCGAAGGCGUGGGGAGCAAACAGGAUUAGAUACCCCAGUAGUC